UCCUUACCUACAGUCGAAUCGAAAAGUAUUAGAAUCCUUAUUGGUUCUAAUCUACAGCCUCCUUUAAAUCUUCACUACCAUUUGGUUAAUUUUCUCGUGCACAAAUACAUAACCUGCGUAGUAAAUGACAAGAGAUUUUUAGAAACGAACCCAAUAAAAAAUGAGUUUUACCUUGGGCACGCAAUCCUGCUUGUUGGAGUCGCCAUGCGUCACCACCCGUGUGC
rnacentral:lncRNA from 1 species